CAACCAGCUGCCCAGGGCUUGGGGAGCUCGAGGACCAUGGGAACCUGGUUGCCCAGACAACAGCUGCCGUGACUGGAAGACCAAGUCUAGAGUGUAACCCAGCUUGGGUGUGGUCUCUCAGACCAGGAGGAUGAGGGCCCCAGGUUUAGGUGGCUCAUCAUCCAGUAAUAAUUCUUAUGCCUCUGCAAUCCAAGUUGUAAGUCGACGAUUCAUCGAAGAAGCUGCUGGGAAGAAUCUUCAGAGGGUUCCAGAAGAACAGCGGUGGCUGGCCCUGGAGGUCCCAUGACCCCGCUUCCCCUCUCUCAACUGCUAACAUAUGUUGGAGCUCUUUGGGGCCUGUGAUGUCACCCAGUGGGCCGGCCCACGGCUGUGGUUAUGAUGUCAUCUGCUGUCUGGCUGUGUGGGUCUGUGGCCAUAAAGUGGCUGGAGAGGGGCAGUCCCUGGAGGCGGUCCCUUUGUCUCCUGCACAGGAAGCUACUCCUACAACUCAGUCUACAGGAAUGUGCCACCAUAGCCUAAGAAGCUCCGGGGCUGCAAAAGGGAAGCUGGUGAGGUCUCAGGGCAUGGGAAUUUUGGCCUUAAGCCUCUACUUGCAUGGAGGCUGAAAUGCCUGGGCCCUCUCUGGUCAUCCCAGCCUGCCUACCUCCUGCUGCUUCAUCACUGAGAGGGCCCAUCUCAGAACCGUAUCUACUGGAUUUUGCAGGAGGUUCUUAUUCUUAAGUGAAAUAAACCAAGCUUCAGAGAAGUCAGGGGCCCUGCGCUAGAAGGGCCAACGGAAAGAGGAAAGAAUGGUGGCUUCAGCUUUGGCAUUUCUAUGCUGCGCUGUCCUGCUCUGAGACCACAUCAGUCCAGACACUGGGCUGGUAUCUGAGGUCACACUGAUUUUUCCACCGUGGAACAGGCUGGGAACUCCGCUGCCGGGGGUAAAGAGGGGCCUGUCUUUUUUGUCCUGGUUUGCAC
ensembl:lncRNA